rnacentral:rRNA from 1 species
AUACGUAGGGGGCAAGCGUUAUCCGGAUUUACUGGGUGUAAAGGGAGCGUAGACGGUAAAGCAAGUCUGAAGUGAAAGUUCGGGGCUCAACCCCGGAACUGCUUUGGAGACUGUUUUACUGGAGUGCAGGAGAGGUAAGCGGAAUUCCUAGUGUAGCGGUGAAAUGCGUAGAUAUUAGGAGGAACACCAGAGGCGAAGGCGGCUUACUGGACUGUAACUGACGUUGAGGCUCGAAGGCGUGGGGAGCAAACAGGAUUAGAUACCCUGGUAGUCCACGCGGUAAACGAUGAUCACUAGGUGUCGGCGGCCAUAGGCGGUCGGUGCCGCAGCAAACGCAAUAAGUGAUCCACCUGGGGAGUACGUUCGCAAGAAUGAAACUCAAAGGAAUUGACGGGG